rnacentral:rRNA from 1 species
GACGAACGCUGGCGGCGUGCCUAACACAUGCAAGUCGAGCGGGGAGAGAUUUUCGGAUUUCUCUUUAGCGGCGGACGGGUGAGUAACACGUGGGUAACCUGCCUCAUAGAGGGGGAUAGCCUCCCGAAAAGAUGAUUAAUACCGCAUAAUAUCAGGAAACUGCAUGGCAUUCUGAUUAAAGGAGCAAUCAGCUUUGAGAUGGACCCGCGGCGCAUUAGUUAGUUGGUGGGGUAAUGGCCUACCAAGACGACGAUGCGUAGCCGACCUGAGAGGGUGAUCGGCCACAUUGGGACUGAGACACGGCCCAGACUCCUACGGGAGGCAGCAGUGGGGAAUAUUGCACAAUGGAGGAAACUCUGAUGCAGCAACGCCGCGUGAGCGAUGAAGGUCUUCGGAUCGUAAAGCUCUGUCUUUAGGGAUGAUAAUGACAGUACCUAAGGAGGAAGCCACGGCUAACUACGUGCCAGCAGCCGCCGUAAAAC